GGCCCCAUCGUCUAGUGGUUAGGACGCAGGAUUUUCAUUCCUGCAACCGGGGUUCGAUUCCCCGUGGGGCUA
rnacentral:tRNA from 1 species